GUGUGCGUCUGUGUACGUGUUGUGUUAUGUAGUUCGCGUUAUUUUUGUUACACCUUCGAUAUUAUAGGUGCGUUUUAAAAUAAUUUAAAAAAGUUUUUAUUUAUUUACGAAUAGAUUAUUAUGAUAUUCAAAAUGUGUAGUACACUAAGUUUCGUUUUUGUGAAUCAAAUCGACUUUUUGAAGCAUUCAUAUUCAAAUUAGUUAAAAAUACAUCACGUUGAGCAUUUAAUAUGAAUGAUAGUCAUAUCAAAAUGAACGUAAAAUCGUGUGAUCUGGUUACUGGAGCGCAUAUUACGCACAUAUACAUCAAUCAAACUCCUGAUACUUUAAAUGAAAAAUCAUUAGAUGCUAAAUUACUCGUCAAUGUACCUGUUGAAUUUAAUACAUCUAAUUCUACGUUUACGUCGAAGGAGUCCUCAUCAUUGUACUCCGGCAGUGUUAAUAACGCAGACGGUAGGGAUGCGGUGGUGAAUAUCUUAAAUAACGUCACUCCGUUUGAAUAUUCUAAAGUCGUUCAUUCGUCUCAGUUGAUACUAGAUAAUAAUGAAUCAUAUUCUUGUCACAUAUGUAUUAAUGAUAAUACUGAUCUGAAUUCAGUAUGCGAGAAUUUUAAUACUGAUGCGAUUCGUCCAGUAUGCGACGCUGAAACAAAUUAUACUUAUCUUUCAUCAGAGGACGACGAAAGUUACUGUGCAUAUUCUAUUGCUGAUAUCAGCGAUAUCGAUGAGCUAUCAGAUAAUAAUUUAUCCGAUCGUCAAUCUAGUCCUCUUAGGGAACAAACAAGGGUACACAUUAAUGGUUCUAGUCCUGGCUAUAAUUCUAGUUGUGAUUCUGAAGCUGAUGGAAUUGUAACAUUUCUGGACAAGUGUAAUAAUGAAGCAGAAGCUCGCUUGGCUGCAAGACGUCAAGCCCGCGCUGAAGCUAGAGAAAUUCGUAUGCGAGAAAUUGAACGGCAACAGAAAGAAGCUGAGGAAAAUGCAGACAAAGCUUUUGAUAUGCAUGCAGCAGAUGGACCUAUUAUAAAUCGAGUUUCACGAGUAGCUGCAAGUACUGCCAGCCCUAGAGCAGCCAGUUCAAUACAUAAUACUAACAGUUACCAAUCUAGUCGACGUAAUUCAGUUGAUUCUCUUGAUGAAUCUACUCCUAAUUUUCGAGAUUUUAGGAUGGAAUUAAAAGACUUAGAAGAAAAGUUUCGUAAAGCUAUGGUACAAAAUGCUCAACUCGACAAUGAAAAAGCAGCUGUGUCAUAUAUGGUAGAAUUGUAUAAAGACAAGUACACCGAUAUUGAAGAAGAACUUAUGCAUAUAAAACGAGAACAUAAAGAGAGUUGUAGAGAAAACGAAAAAUUGAAGCGUUUAUUGGCUACUCAAAAAUUAGAAUCUUUAACACUUCAACAAGAACUAGAAGAACGUGAUAAACUCAUUGAGGAAAAAGGUCUAGUAAUUAUCAGCACAGAACAAGAACAUUGGAGUGAGAGUGAUCAAUGUAAUAGUAAAAUAAAACGUGCCUUAGUCUCUGUUGAAAAUGCUCAAUUGUUACAAGAUGCAGGAGAAGGUUGUUUAGAUGUACGACUCAAAAAAUUUACCGAAGAACGUAACAGCUAUAUAGACGAAAUUAACAGGCUCAAAUUAGAGUUACAAGAAGCCAAACGUCAUAGUGAUAACCAUUAUAAUGGUACAGACUCAGACGAUUUGGAAGAUGCCCAAAAAGAAACUAAUAAAGUUCUUGGUGAUUAUAAAUUCAAAUGGCAAAAGGCUGAACAAGAUAUUUCUACAUUACAAGCUAAUGUAGCUAGACUUGAAAGUCAAGUUAUUAGAUAUAAAACAGCUUCUGAAGCAUCUGAAAAAGCUGAAGAUGAACUGAAAUUGGAAAAACGAAAACUACAGCGCGAGCUUCGAGAAGCUCAAGCAAAAGUUGAAGAAUUGGAGACAUCCAAUAUGCAUUUACUAAAACGUUUUGACAAGUUAAAGAAUGCCAAAUCCAGUUUACUAAAAGAUUUAUAAUAGACUAUCUUAUUCACUAUCGAACAAAACUAAGAGUAAUAAUUUAUUUUAAUUCAAAUGCGAUUUUUUGUGCAAUAAAAUCUACAUUCAUCAUCAGUGUCAUAUCAGACAAUUGAUGAUGAGAAGAUGUGCAAAACAGGACAAGAAACAUAAUAUAAUUAAAAACAUAAUUUAGUAUAUAAUAUUUGAAUAAUUAAAUUUAUAUUAAUAAAUAUUUAAUAACAAAAUACUAAUAAUUAUAGCAAAAUAUAAUUACCGUGUAAAAAUUGUUUUAUUUUAUUUGAAAUUACAAUCUAACAUUAUCAUUUUAUAAAUGUUUUAUUUUAUAUUAAGUAUAUUUUAUUAUUAUUUUAUUUUGAAAUAAUAAAAUUCUUUAUUUUUGUUGAUUUGACUAUUGUUCCAAAACUAUCAACCAAUACUCCAAUUUUUAUUGAUGGUAAAUGUUUUUAUUAUUAGUUAUUCUGUAUUCGUAGAAUCUUGUUAAACCAAAAUAAGUGGCAUUCGCUCUAUUUAUAAAUAAUUUAUUAGUAAAAACAUUUAUCUCUUUAUGACUAAUGUGUAUACUUGGAUAGAACUUGUAUGUAUACUGUAUUUAUUUCAUUAUUAUUAUUAUUUUAAUUACACUAGUAAAUUUGCUCUGUAAAUAGGUAUCAUAUGUAAAUGAAACUUUUCUUAACAAGAUAAAAUUACCAACGAUUCAUUUUAUAUUAUAAAAUGUAAGUGUUAGAGCAUCUUUUGAAAUAUUCUCUUAAAUGUUCCUAUCUGAUACAGAGAGUAGAUUAUAAAAUAUUUUAAAGUUAAAGUUUGUAAUUUUAUAGAUUUAUUAUACUAAUUUGAAUUCUAAAACAAAAUUUAAAAUAAAAACUACAAAACACGGUAAUUUUAUUUUGUUGUUCAUUUAUGUACUUUCCAAAAAAAAUUAAUUUACUAUACUCAGUUUCAUGUAAAAGUAAACUCGGGCAGACGGCUUCAACUAGGCUAAUGAAUGUUGCUAACCUGUGUUUUUGGGAGCAUCACUUUAUUAUUCUAACAACUGCCAACCUUGUAUUUUGCUGAAAUAAGCACAAUAAAAAUACUUUACCAUGAUGAAUAAAAAUUGAUUUAUUAAGAGAUAAUUAAAGGUUAUCUGAUCAAACCUGACUGACCUGAGGAUACUCUUAUAUGAGGCAGAGUGUAGAUCUAUGUAGUUAGAAUUAUGAAAUAUAAAUUAUUACAAAUAACAUUUUGUAUUUAUUAAAAAUAAUAAUAACAACAAUCAUUUAGUUUUUAGUUUAUUUAUUUAUUUUUUAUCUUUAUAUUCUAUUAAAAUUAAAAUUGUUUUUAAAAAAAAAGUAAGAUCCUAGUAAUACCUAUACUACAUAUUAUCUAUGAUUUUAGAAUAUACUGUUAUGUGUUAAUCUUCAAAACAACAAUAACAGAUCCAGAGGUCACUCUAGGGAAGGGUUGAAUCCUCAAAAAUUAAAUUACCUUUUUAAUUUUUUUUUUCUACUUAACCUAUAUUGGAAGCUAAUUAUUUGCAUUGUGUUCCAUGUACAACUAAAUAAAUCUGUUUAUAUUUAUUUUUACAAUUAAUUUACAAUAUAGAGUGUUUUUUCUACAAAGUCAAGACUAAGUAAAAUCUCAACUCUGUGUAAUUAAUAAUAUCAUAAAAAUAAAAAUAUUGAUUUUUGUCCAAGA